AUUGAACGCUGGCGGCAGGCCUAACACAUGCAAGUCGAACGAGUGGCGGACGGGUGAGUAAUGUCUGGGAAACUGCCUGAUGGAGGGGGAUAACUACUGGAAACGGUAGCUAAUACCGCAUACCAUCGGAUGUGCCCAGAUGGGAUUAGCUAGUAGGUGGGGUAACGGCUCACCUAGGCGACGAUCCCUAGCUGGUCUGAGAGGAUGACCAGCCAAACUGGAACUGAGACACGGUCCAGACUCCUACGGGAGGAAGCAGUGGGGAAGAUUGCACAAUGGGCGCAAGCCUGAUGCAGCCAUGCCGAGUGUAUGAAGAAGGCCUUCGGGUUGUAAAGUACUUUCAGCGGGGAGGCGUUACCCGCAGAAGAAGAACCGGCUAAGUCCGUGCCAGCCGCCGCGGUAAUUC
rnacentral:rRNA from 1 species